AAAUUGUUAAAACUCGUUAUACAUUGUAUUAUUGUGGUUAAAUAAAUUGUUUCAAAAAAAAAAAAGGAUAAAUCUCAGAAUAUGGAUAAUCAGGCACAACCAAAUUUUCUGAACAUUUGAUUCAGGUGGUUAAUUGUUUACUCCGCAACUAUAUUUAUGCAUGCAGUCUUGCAGUUUCCUAAAGCUUUAAUAAAACCAUUACUGGAUUGAUUAGCUAAUUGUGGUGGAAUGUGGCAACACUGUCAUAGGCAACCAACCAAAUAAGAUUUUUGGCAAAUGAGAAACCUUGGCAGAACAACAACAAACAAAUAGAAGAAAAGUGUAUAUUAAAAUAACACAUAAUUUACCAAAAUACAUAGUUGAGUCCCCAGCUAAUUGAACCAGAGCUUAAAAUAAACAUUUAACUGUUUAGAAUACAAACACAAACUCCAUUUGAAUAACCCAAACAAACCAACAAUUGAUCAAUCAAAACAGGGAAAAAUAGCAAUAAAAGCGUCAAAAGGAUAUCAGAAAACCACUUACAUAACUG